rnacentral:misc_RNA from 1 species
UACAUUAGUGCUUGCGCACGACAAUAAAUUUCAUUACAUUCGAGUUUGUGUAAAAAUCCUCUGCCGGCCGAAGCUAGCAAGAGGCCAAAGGUUCACAGGGUAUUGGAUGAAAGCCACCGACGUGCCGAAGCCGGCCAGCACUGACGGCGACGAUUCGCAAUCAAUAAUGAUCCUUCCGCAGGUUCACCUACGGAAA